rnacentral:lncRNA from 1 species
GUCCCUACUUGGUCCAAGGUAGCCGGACCUCUAUUUCGCACUUGUGAUAAGUACAUCUUUUAUGUCUACACUUGUCUCAGGAUGGGAAAGUCGCAGCUGACGAGCGAGGAACUCUGCUACCUGUUUGGUGGCCGCUGCAAUGUUUUUGCUCGCCUAGAUCCAGAAUGGGCACGGAGGUUCACAAUUAGAUGCCGCCUCUCAUACCAGGCAAAAUUAAAAAGGUGUCUCCUGCCACCCUGUAACACAGUUUCUUUAGACAAACUGUACAGGGUGCAGACUGCUGAAGGCGCGCUCUUGACGGUCGACGGCAGAGGCCGCGUGGUGCAAAUUGAGUAUUUUGAAGAACCCUGCGGCCCCAGCAGACUAGCUGUCUCCGGGGGUAACGAGCUCGCGGUUUUCAGAGAGACCCUGUGCGUGUUUUCGGACGUGGCUUUUAGGAUGGAAAGCCACGGAGCAGGAGCCUCGCCUUCGCUGGUCAUCUCUCGGCGCUCCGACUCUGCACACUGCACCUUGGCGGGCUUGUGCUGUUCACACUGGCGUGGGAAGUGUUACACGGUCAAGGAGCGUGACAUUCGAGGCCUGAAAGUGGAAAGUGGUUACAUCUACACGACGGACGGCCUCUCCCUGUAUACACUGGUGGCCUCGUGGAAGACCGGGGUCCGUUUGAUUUUUGACGAAGGCUGCAGACAGGAGAUAAUUCACACGCUGUGCGCUCUCGCCAUGGGUGACCCCAACCUGGGGCUGGAAUUUAAACUGAAAUGCGUUCUGCCCGACGCGGCGAGAGCGUUAGACUUGAGAGACCUGGAGCCUCUGAAGCUGGGCUCUAAGCCGCUGGAUUUCCGCGGCCCCUGGGGGCAAUCAGCUGAACCUAAGGAUCUUCCUUGUGAUGCAGAUGACGACAGCGGACCCCGUGGGUGCUGCAUUCGCGAGGGCCUGGCGUCCCUCCGAGACGUGACCAGACUUCCCUCGGCGUUCGCCAUCCUAGCCGAGAAUGAGAACGUGGUGGUGCUGAGGCAUUUGUUGAGAGAUGCUGUGCUCAUCGUGCCAAAGGAGAGAGCCAGCGUGGUCAUCGAUCCGGUCCAGCUAAAGACCAACGGCAGACGUACGCUCCCGGCUCCCGGCGGGCACAUAACGGAAUGGUUUCCUUGUGGACACUCGCUGUUCAGAGUCGAGAGGGGUCUCCCAGGCGUGCCGCCCGCAGUGAUUCUUUGCAAGCCUCAAAGUGCAGAGGAGCAGCGUGGGAAAACGGCUCAUUGCAGAUCCAAAGAGGUGCCGACGCUACAGGUCCUAAGGAGCGCUGCCUAUGACAGGGUUCUGCCUAAAGGGUUCAGGUCAAAGAUUCACCUCUUCAAUCAAUCUGUGUGUCUGCUACCUGGGACCAUGGAUGUCAUUGGCCCACGUGUGCUAGGAUUUCCAGCGUGUGUCGCAGUUUUGUAUGCGUUUAAUGCCUUUGAUCAGCUCACCGCCGAGAAGUCACGCAAAGUGAGCGGCCCCGUGCAGCUGUCGUUUGUGUCCUCGCUGAGCCUCAGAGAGUCCCAAGCCCUGCUUUUGUCUUACAUGUGUCUGGAAGAGUCCUUUGUGCCCUCGGAGGCAAAUUUCAUCAGUUGGGAAGUGAAAUCUCAUUCUGUUCUCACAGAACUCAGAAAGCUUGUAGCAGCAAACCCGACCGUGCACUCUGGGCUGGGCGGUUUGAAGCUCUCCCUCGGUGAGAAGAUAAUGCGAGCAGACCUGAAAGAUGAA